AGAAUCAACGCUGGCGGCGUGCCUAACACAUGCAAGUCGCACGAGAAAGUGGAGCAAUCCACGAGUAAAGUGGCGCACGGGUGAGUAACACGUGAAUGAUCUACCUCCGAGUGGGGAAUAACUGAGAGAAAUCUUAGCUAAUACCGCAUAAUACCCACGGGUCAAAGCAGCAAUGCGCUUGGAGAGGAGUUCGCGGCCGAUUAGCUAGUUGGCGGGGUAAUGGCCACCAAGGCGAUGAUCGGUAUCCGGCCUGAGAGGGCGCACGGACACACUGGAACUGAAACACGGUCCAGACUCCUACGGGAGGCAGCAGUGGGGAAUUUUGCGCAAUGGGGGAAACCCUGACGCAGCAACGCCGCGUGGAGGAUGAAAUCCCUUGGGAUGUAAACUCCUUUCGAUAGGGAAGAUAAUGACGGUACCUAUAGAAGAAGCCCGGCUAACUUCGUGCCAGCAGCCGC
rnacentral:rRNA from 1 species